GGAAGAGCUCAAAUUUGUAAUCUGGCGUCUUUCAGGCGUCCGAGUUGUAAUCUAUAGAAGUGUUUUCCGUGCUGGACCAUGUCCAAGUCCCUUGGAACAGGGUAUCAAAGAGGGUGACAAUCCCGUACUUGAUAUGGCUACCAGUGCUCUGUGAUACACUUUCUACGAGUCGAGUUGUUUGGGAAUGCAGCUCAAAAUGGGUGGUAAAUUCCAUCUAAAGCUAAAUAUUGGCGAGAGACCGAUAGCGAACAAGUACCGUGAGGGAAAGAUGAAAAGCACUUUGGAAAGAGAGUUAAACAGUACGUGAAAUUGUUGAAAGGGAAACGAUUGAAGUCAGUCGUGUUCAUUGGACUCAGCCGGUUUUCGGUGUAUUUCCUUUGAACGGGUCAACAUCAGUUUUGUCCGGUGGAU
rnacentral:rRNA from 1 species